rnacentral:rRNA from 1 species
AUUGCACGCUGGCGGCAGGCCUAACACAUGCAAGUCGAGCGAGCGGCGGACGGGUGAGUAAUGUAUGGGGACUGCCCGAUAGAGGGGGAUAACUACUGGAAACGGUGGCUAAUACCGCAUCCUAUCGGAUAACCCAUAUGGGAUUAGCUAGUAGGGGGGGUAAAGGCUCACCUAGGCGACGAUCUCUAGCUGGUCGGAGAGGAUGAUCAGCCAAACUGGGACGGAGACACGGCCCAGCCUCCUACGGAUGCAGCAGUGGGGAAUAGUGCACAAUGGGCGAAAGCCUGAUGCAGCCAUGCCGCGUGUAUGAAGAAGGCCUUAGGGUUGUAAAGUACUUUCAGCGGGGAGGCGUUACCCGCAGAAGAAGCACCGGCUAACUCCGUGCCAGCAGCCGCGGUAAGUC